CUAAGCCAUGCGAGUCAUUGUAGCAAUACAAGGCAGACGGCUCAGUAACGCGUAGUCAAUCUACCCUAUGGACGGGAAUAACCUCGGGAAACUGAGAAUAAUGCCCGAUAGAACAUUAUGCCUGGAAUGGUUUAUGUUUCAAAUGAUUUAUCGCCAUAGGAUGGGACUGCGGCCUAUCAGUUUGUUGGUGAGGUAAUGGCCCACCAAGACUAUUACAGGUACGGGCUCUGAGAGGAGUAGCCCGGAGAUGGGUACUGAGACACGGACCCAGGCCCUAUGGGGCGCAGCAGGCGAGAAAACUUUGCAAUGUGCGAAAGCACGACAAGGUUAAUCCGAGUGGUUUCUGCUAAAGAAACCUUUUGUCAGUCCUAGAAACACUAACGAAUAAGGGGUGGGCAAGUUCUGGUGUCAGCCGCCGCGGUAAAACCAGCACCUCAAGUGGUCAGGAUGAUUAUUGGGCCUAAAGCAUCCGUAGCUCGUUUUGUAAGUUUUCGGUUAAAUCCAUGCGCUUAACGUAUGGGCUGCCGGGAAUACUGCAUAACUAGGAAGUGGGAGAGGUAGACGGUACUCGGUAGGAAGGGGUAAAAUCCUUUGAUCUAUUGAUGACCACCUGUGGCGAAGGCGGUCUACCAGAACACGUUCGACGGUGAGGGAUGAAAGCUGGGGGAGCAAACCGGAUUAGAUACCCGGGUAGUCCCAGCUGUAAACUAUGCAAACUCAGUGAUGCAUUGGCUUGUGGCCAAUGCAGUGCUGCAGGGAAGCCGUUAAGUUUGCCGCCUGGGAAGUACGUACGCAAGUAUGAAACUUAAAGGAAUUGGCGGGGGAGCACCACAAGGGGUGAAGCCUGCGGUUCAAUUGGAGUCAACGCCAGAAAUCUUACCCGGAGAGACAGCAGAAUGAAGGUCAAGCUGAAGACUUUACCAGACAAGCUGAGAGGUGGUGCAUGGCCACUCAAUAUGCCUGCCCUCACUGCGCUUUCAGUCGGAAAC
rnacentral:rRNA from 1 species